rnacentral:rRNA from 1 species
AUUGAACGCUGGCGGCAUGCUUUACGCAUGCAAGUCGAACGGUAACAGGUUAAGCUGACGAGUGGCGAACGGGUGAGUAAUGCAUCGGAACGUGCCCGGUCGUGGGGGAUAACGCAGCGAAAGCUGCGCUAAUACCGCAUACGAUCUGAGGAUGAAAGCGGAGGACCGUAAGGCCUCGCGCGAUCGGAGCGGCCGAUGUCAGAUUAGGUAGUUGGUGGGGUAAAGGCUCACCAAGCCAACGAUCUGUAGCUGGUCUGAGAGGACGACCAGCCACACUGGUACUGAGACACGGCCCAGACUCCUACGGGAGGCAGCAGUGGGGAAUUUUGGACAAUGGGCGAAAGCCUGAUCCAGCAAUGCCGCGUGCAGGAAGAAGGCCUUCGGGUUGUAAACUGCUUUUGUACGGGGCGAAAAGGUCUCCUCUAAUACAGGGGGCUCAUGACGGUACCGUAAGAAUAAGCACCGGCUAACUACGUGCCAGCCGCCGCCGUAA